GGGCGGGGAAGGAAACGUGAUGAUUGCGCAAGCGCAGAAAAUGGGCCCUCCUGGCCGUCGGGACUUGCACUGUGGGUGACUCCGUCUCCUCUGACGGUAGAGCCCGUGUGACCCAGAAAGGCCGCCUUGGGACCCAGACCAGGAUUUCUAUCAGCUCCCCUGGCUCACAGGCCUUCUGACUUCUGACUGAAUUACACCAUCUGCUGUCCUGGAUCCAGCUUGCAGAGGACUGCACAUCGUGGGACUUCUUGGCCUCCGUAAUCACUUGAAACAAUGUCCACAAGAGAAAAUAAAAGCAGUCAGAGGAGAAUUCUGACAAACUCUCUAUCUGCACUGCCUAUCCCUUUUUCCUCAGCAUGUUGGUCCAUGGCCUCUGCCUUCCCCCAUCAAGAUGGUAGAGAAUCUCAUGUUCCCAGCAUUUCUCACCACAGACUUCCCCUUUCUCUCCUGCUAGCAAAGGCCACUGCCACUCAGCACUGGGCCCCUUCUCCUCUCGCUUACUCAGUGGCACUGCUGGAGCUACCCUCCCCUCUC